rnacentral:rRNA from 1 species
UACGUAGGGUGCGAGCGUUAAUCGGAAUUACUGGGCGUAAAGCGUGCGCAGGCGGUUUUGUAAGCCAGAUGUGAAAUCCCCGGGCUCAACCUGGGAAUGGCCGUUGAAACUGGCGAACUGGAGUGUGGCAGAGGGGGGUGGAAUUCCGCGUGUAGCAGUGAAAUGCGUAGAGAUGCGGAGGAACACCGAUGGCGAAGGCAGCCCCCUGGGCUGACACUGACGCUCAGGCACGAAAGCGUGGGGAGCAAACAGG